rnacentral:sRNA from 1 species
UGCUAAAUGUUGCUAUGACAGGAGUGU